CAGUCGCCGCGGGAAUACGUAGGGUGCGAGCGUUAAUCGGAAUUACUGGGCGUAAAACGUGCGCAGGCGGUUAUAUAAGACAGAUGUGAAAUCCCCGGGCUCAACCUGGGACCUGCAUUUGUGACUGUAUAGCUAGAGUACGGUAGAGGGGGAUGGAAUUCCGCGUGUAGCAGUGAAAUGCGUAGAUAUGCGGAGGAACACCGAUGGCGAAGGCAAUCCCCUGGACCUGUACUGACGCUCAUGCACGAAAGCGUGGGGAGCAAACAGGAUUAGAUACCCCAGUAGUCCCUGUCUCUUAUAC
rnacentral:rRNA from 1 species